ACGCUGGCGGCAGGCUUAACACAUGCAAGUCGAACGGUAGCAGGAGAAAGCUUGCUUUCUUGCUGACGAGUGGCGGACGGGUGAGUAAUGCUUGGGAAUCUGGCUUAUGGAGGGGGAUAACUACGGGAAACUGUAGCUAAUACCGCGUAGUAUCGGAAGAUGAAAGUGCGGGACCGUAAGGCCGCAUGCCAUGAGAUGAGCCCAAGUGGGAUUAGGUAGUUGGUGGGGUAAAGGCCUACCAAGCCUGCGAUCUCUAGCUGGUCUGAGAGGAUGGCCAGCCACACUGGAACUGAGACACGGUCCAGACUCCUACGGGAGGCAGCAGUGGGGAAUAUUGCGCAAUGGGGGGAACCCUGACGCAGCCAUGCCGCGUGAAUGAAGAAGGCCUUCGGGUUGUAAAGUUCUUUCGGUAUUGAGGAAGGAGUGUAUGUUAAUAGCAUACAUUAUUGACGUUAAAUACAGAAGAAGCACCGGCUAACUCCGUGCCAGCAGCCGCGGUAAUACGGAGGGUGCGAGCGUUAAUCGGAAUAACUGGGCGUAAAGGGCACGCAGGCGGUUAUUUAAGUGAGGUGUGAAAGCCCCGGGCUUAACCUGGGAAUUGCAUUUCAGACUGGGUAACUAGAGUACUUUAGGGAGGGGUAGAAUUCCACGUGUAGCGGUGAAAUGCGUAGAGAUGUGGAGGAAUACCGAAGGCGAAGGCAGCCCCUUGGGAAUGUACUGACGCUCAUGUGCGAAAGCGUGGGGAGCAAACAGGAUUAGAUACCCUGGUAGUCCACGCUGUAAACGCUGUCGAUUUGGGGAUUGGGGCUUAAAGCUUGCGCCCGUAGCUAACGUGAUAAAUCGACCGCCUGGGGAGUACGGCCGCAAGGUUAAAACUCAAAUGAAUUGACCGGGGGCCCGCACAAGCGGU
rnacentral:rRNA from 1 species